GAUGAAGAACGUAGCGAAAUGCGAUAAGUAAUGUGAAUUGCAGAAUUCAGUGAAUCAUCGAAUCUUUGAACGCACCUUGCGUCCUUUGGCUAUUCCGAAGGGCAUGCCUGUUUGAGUAUCAUGAACACCUCAACUCUCAUGGUUUGCCAUGAUGAGCUUGGACUUUGGGGGUCUUGCCGGCCUAUGGGUCGGCUCCUCUCAAAUUAAUCAGCUUGCCAGUGUUUGGUGGCAUCACAGGUGUGAUAACUAUCUACGCUUGUGGUUUUCCAUCAGGUAACCUUCAGUGAUGGAGGUUCGCAGGGGCUCAUAAAUGUCUCUCCUCAGUGAGGACAGCUUUUUUGAACGUUUGAUCUCAAAUCAGGUAGGACUACCCGCUGAACUUAAGCAUAUCAAUAAGCGGAGGA
rnacentral:misc_RNA from 1 species